UCUGAUUCAUUAUGAUCUAGGAUCAGGUCCCUCCUCUCCAUGUGGUCUGAUUCAUUAUGAUCUAGGAUCAGGUCCCUCCUCUCCAUGUGGUCUGUUUCAUUGUGAUCUAGGAUCAGGUCCCUCCUCU